AACGAACGCUGGCGGCGCGUCUUAAGCAUGCAAGUCGGACGGCAAGAAGAGGGCUUGCUCUCUUCCUAGAGUGGCGGACUGGUGAGUAACACGUGGGUGACAUGCCCUUGGGGUGGGGAUAGCCGAUAGAAAUAUCGGGUAAUACCGAAUACACUUCCCUCCGCUAAGAAGGGGAAGGAAAGAAUCUAAGGCUUUGCCCGAGGAAUGGCCCGCGGCCUAUUAGCCUGUUGGUGAGGUAACGGCUCACCAAAGCAAUGAUAGGUAUCCGGCCUAAGAGGGUGAACGGACACAUUGGGACUGAGAUACGGCCCAAACUCCUGCGGGAGGCAGCAGCUAAGAAUAUUCCGCAAUGGGCGAAAGCCUGACGGAGCGACGCCGCGUGUAUGACGAAGGCCGAAAGGUUGUAAAAUACUUUUAAACCUGAAGAAUAAACACGGAAGGGAAUGUCCGUGCGGUGACGGUAGGGUUUGAAUAAGCAACGGCUAAUUACGUGCCAGCAGCCGCGGUAACACGUAAGUUGCAAGCGUUGUUCGGAAUUAUUGGGCGUAAAGGGCAUGUAGGCGGUUGCUCAAGCUUGGUGUGAAAUGCCUCGGCUUAACCGAGGAGGUGCAUUGAGAACUAGGUGGCUAGAGUUGCUGAGGAGAAGCCGGAAUUCCAGGUGUAGGGGUGAAAUCUGUAGAUAUCUGGAAGAACACC
rnacentral:rRNA from 1 species